rnacentral:rRNA from 1 species
UGCCAGCAGCCGCGGUAAUACGGAGGGUGCAAGCGUUAUCCGGAAUCAUUGGGUUUAAAGGGUCCGUAGGCGGAUUGAUAAGUCAGAGGUGAAAUCCCAUAGCUCAACUAUGGAACUGCCUUUGAUACUGUUAGUCUUGAGUUACUUGGAAGUAGAUAGAAUGUGUAGUGUAGCGGUGAAAUGCAUAGAUAUUACACAGAAUACCGAUUGCGAAGGCAGUCUACUACGAGUACACUGACGCUGAUGGACGAAAGCGUGGGGAGCGAACAGGAUUAGAAA